rnacentral:rRNA from 1 species
AACGAACGCUGGCGGCAGGCUUAACACAUGCAAGUCGAGCGCCCCGCAAGGGGAGCGGCAGACUGGUGAGUAACGCGUGGGAACGUACCUUUUGGUUCGGAACAACUCCGGGAAACUGGAGCUAAUACCGGAUAAGCCCUAACGGGGAAAGAUUUAUCGCCGAAAGAUCGGCGCGCGUCUGAUUAGCUAGUUGGUGAGGUAACGGCUCACCAAGGCGACGAUCAGUAGCUGGUCUGAGAGGAUGAUCAGCCACACUGGGACUGAGACACGGCCCAGACUCCUACGGGAGGCAGCAGUGGGGAAUAUUGGACAAUGGGCGCAAGCCUGAUCCAGCCAUGCCGCGUGAGUGAUGAAGGCCUUAGGGUUGUAAAGCUCUUUUGUACGGGAAGAUAAUGACUGUACCGGAAGAAUAAGCCCCGGCUAACUUCGUG